UGGGGAAUAUUGGACAAUGGGCGAAAGCCUGAUCCAGCAAUGCCGCGUGAGUGAUGAAGGCCUUAGGGUUGUAAAGCUCUUUUACCAGGGAUGAUAAUGACAGUACCUGGAGAAUAAGCUCCGGCUAACUCCGUGCCAGCAGCCGCGGUAAUACGGAGGGAGCUAGCGUUGUUCGGAAUUACUGGGCGUAAAGCGUACGUAGGCGGUUAUUCAAGUCAGAGGUGAAAGUCCGGGGCUCAACCCCGGAACGGCCUUUGAAACUAGAUAGCUAGAAUCUUGGAGAGGUCAGUGGAAUUCCGAGUGUAGAGGUGAAAUUCGUAGAUAUUCGGAAGAACACCAAAUGCGAAGGCAGCAUACUGGGACAUUCCUGACACUGAGGCACGAAAGCGUGGGUAGCGAAAAGGAUUAGAUACCCACGUAGUCCCUGAGCGGGC
rnacentral:rRNA from 1 species